AACGCACCUUGCGCUCCUUGGUAUUCCGAGGAGCAUGCCUGUUUGAGUGUCAUGAAAUCAUCAACCUUACUGUCUUUGUUGACGGUGUAGGCUUGGACUUGGGGACCUUGCCGGCCUUUCUGAGGUCGGCUUCCCUUGAAUGUAUUAGUCGAGCGCCCUCGCUCCGAGACGUGUGAUAAUUAUCAUUCACUGAUCGACGAGGGCUGUGCUAGGCUUCUAACCGUCGCGUUAGUGACAAUCUUGACAAUCUGACCUCAAAUCAGGUAGGACUACCCGCUGAACUUAA
rnacentral:misc_RNA from 2 species